rnacentral:rRNA from 1 species
GCAAGAUACCACGGGCGCACGGCGGAUGCCUUGGCACAGGGAGCCGAUGAAGGACGCGGCAAGCUGCGAUAAUCCCCGGCGAGGAGCACACAUCCUUCGACCCGGGGGUCUCCGAAUGGGCGAACCCAUCCACAGCAGUGUGGAUAUCCCCGCCCCGAACGCAUAGGGGCGGGGAGGACAACCCGGGGAACUGAAACAUCUAAGUACCCGGAGGAGAGGAAAUCAAUCUCGAGACUCCCCGAGUAGCGGCGAGCGAAAGGGGACCGAUGGCCAAACCGUCGAGCGGGCGUACCCGGCAGGGGUUCCGCCGACGGGGUUGCAGGGCCGCGCAUCCGGGGGCUGCCGCCCCCGGGCGCAGGUCCGGCUGGGGAGCGGAACGGCAUGGGAGGGCCGGCCGCAGCGGGUGACAGCCCCGUACGCGAACCCAGACCGGACGGCGCGACGCGGUCCCUGAGUAGGGCCGGGCACGUGAAACCCGGUCCGAACCUGGGUGGACCACCAUCCAAGCCUGAGUACUACCCUGUGACCGAUAGCGCACCAGUACCGUGAGGGAAAGGUGAAAAGCACCCCGGGAGGGGAGUGAAACAGUACCUGAAACCGUGCGCCCACGAGCAGUCGGAGCACCUUUAUGGUGUGACGGCGUGCCUUUUGUAGAAUGAGCCAGCGAGUCGCUGGCGCGGGGCGAGGUUAACCGAAAGGGAGCCGGAGCGAAAGCGAGCCUUAACAGGGCGACUUGAGUCCCGCGCCGCGGACGCGAAGCCGGGUGAGCUAUCCGUGGGCAGGCUGAAGCGGGGGUAAGACCCCGUGGAGGGCCGAACGCACGUCGGUUGAAAACGGCGGCGAUGACCUGCGGAUAGGGGUGAAAGGCCAAUCAAACCCGGAGAUAUCUCGUUCUCCCCGAAAUAGCUUUAGGGCUAGCGUCGCGCGUUCACCGCCGGAGGUAGAGCACCGGAUGGACGAGGGGGCUUCGCCGCCUACCGAAUCCAACCGAACUCCGAAUGCCGGCGGCCCAGAGCGCGGCAGUCAGAGCAUGUGGGCUAAGCUGUGUGCUCGAGAGGGAAACAGCCCGGACCGCCCGCUAAGGUCCCCAAGUUCCAGCCGAGUGGCAAAGGAUGUGCGUCCGCCCAGACAACCAGGAUGUUGGCUUAGAAGCAGCCAUACAUUCAAAGAGUGCGUAACAGCUCACUGGUCGAGUGGACAUGCGCCGACAAUACACGGGGCUAAGCUGGACACCGAAGCGGCGGGAUUUUAAUUCAUUAGAAUCGGUAGGGGAGCUUCCCAUGGGCGGAGAAGCCGUCAGGGCGACCGACGGUGGAGCGCAUGGGAGUGAGAAUGCUGGCAUGAGUAGCGAGAGACGAGAGAGUAACUCGUCCGCCGUGAACCCGAGGUUUCCUGGGCAAGGCUAAUCCUCCCAGGGUCAGUCGGGGGCUAAGGCGAGGCCGGGAGGCGUAGCCGACGCGCAGCAGGCAGACAUUCCUGCACCGCGCACGCGGCGCUACGACCGACGGGGCGACGGAUGGGGGUGGCUCGGCGGGGUUCUGGACGUCCCCGUGAUGGAGCGCGGCCCGCGGACCAGGGAAAUCCGGUCCGCAGAAGGGCGAGGCUCCGGACGAAGCGACUGAGCGAAGCGAGUGAGCCCGAGGUCCCUAGAAAAACCCCUAGGCAGGCGCGUGCGCGCCCGUACCGCAAACCGACACAGGUGGGUGGGUAGAACAUACCGAGGCGAUCGGGUCAACCAUGGUCAAGGAACUCGGCACAAUGGCCCCGUAACUUCGGGAGAAGGGGUGCCCGCGCGUACGUGAACCGGCUCGCCCGGGGAGCGGAGGCGGGCCGCAGUGGAGAGGCCCAAGCGACUGUUUACCAAAAACACAGGACUCUGCAGAAGCCGCAAGGCGACGUAUAGGGUCUGACGCCUGCCCGGUGCCGGAAGGUCACGCGGAGGGGUUAGCCGUCAAGGCGAGGCCCCGAAGCCAAGCCCCGGUAAACGGCGGCCGUAACUAUAACGGUCCUAAGGUAGCGAAAUUCCUUGUCGGGU